UAGGGAGCGAGCGUUGUCCGGAAUUACUGGGCGUAAAGGGCGCGUAGGCGGGGUUUUAAGUAGUGUGUGAAAACUAUAGGCUCAACCUGUAGACUGCAUGCUAAACUGGAACUCUUGAGGGCAGGAGAGGAAAGUGGAAUUCCUAGUGUAGCGGUGAAAUGCGAAGAUAUUAGGAGGAACACCAGUGGCGAAGGCGACUUUCUGGACUGUGCCUGACGCUGAGGCGCGAAAGCGUGGGGAGC
rnacentral:rRNA from 1 species